rnacentral:tmRNA from 1 species
GGUCUUUUUUCUUUACGUUCCUGCCUCUAUAUUCGGAGGGUCGGUCGCAAGACCGACUAUGGCGAUAAACGGCCGUCGUAAUAAGCCAUUCGGACCCGGGGGCGGUACCCGGCGCCUCCACCCAAGCCCAGAGGAUCGUUCAGAUCACUGGGUUUCGGCGGGGGCGAAAUAGGAUCGACGAGGGUGUAAAGGACGGGCUUUUGCUCGGCAUGGUUCCGCCGUUAUCGGGCCAAAACGAUAGUUGCGAAUGACAACUAUGCUCCGGUUGCUCAGGCCGCGUAAGCGGUUUGAAAGACCGAUCUUCAAGUCCUGACGUGUAGCAACGGCAGGCGGGGUUCGGAGGCACCUGGCAACAGAAGCCUCCACU